UUUGUCAGUUCCUGUUCUGGGUCUUUUCAGUGCUCUGAGGCUGGAGAAACCUUUCAGUGGGGGUGUGUCAGGAAUUCACAACGACUCUAAUUGCAGGUGCUUUGGGCUUUGUUCUGCCCUUUCUUGCCUGUUUACUGUGUCAGUUAGGUUUUGUUUCCGAUGUGUGUCUCAGCUAGCAUUGUUCCACUCUGAGGCCACAGCCUCAGAAGGGAAGUCAGGUUUUUGAUCCCUUGCCAGUCAACUUUCCAAGAAUGAAAGACAUCUGGGGAGAACCUUGGACACUGCUACCCCCAGAAUGGUCUAUUCCUGGGUUUACACCCCACUAAGAUGAUAUCCUCUGACUCUCCUUACUUGGGAAGAUGGUGGGGACCAGGGUAGAGUCCACUCCAGCUUUUAAGGGACCUGUUCAUCCUCCAUCCAUCCUGCCAUGCACUGAAAUUUGGAACGCCAGCUCCAUGUGAAGUUACUGAAUUGUUGUCAAGAAACAUCUGCCUU